rnacentral:rRNA from 1 species
AGGGCACCACCAGGAGUGGAGCCUGCGGCUUAGUUUGACUCAACACGGGAAAUCUCACCAGGCCCGGACACCGGAAGGAUUGACAGAUUGAGAGCUCUUUCUUGAUUCGGUGGGUGGUGGUGCAUGGCCGUUCUUAGUUGGUGGAGCGAUUUGUCUGGUUAAUUCCGAUAACGAACGAGACUCUGGCCUACUAACUAGACGUUGGAUCCCUUUGUGGGUCCAUCGCAGCUUCUUAGAGGGACGGGCAGCGUUUAGCCGCACGAGAUUGAGCAAUAACAGGUCUGUGAUGCCCUUAGAUGUUCUGGGCUGCACGCGCGCUACACUGAAGGAAUCAGCGUGUGUUCCCUAUCCGAAAGGAUUGGGAAACCCGUUGAACCUCCUUCGUGAUGGGGAUUGGGGAUUGCAAUUAUUCCCCAUGAACGAGGAAUUCCCAGUAGGCGCGAGUCAUAAGCUUGCGUCGAUUACGUCCCUGCCCUUUGUACACACCGCCCGUCGCUACUACCGAUCGAGUGAUUUAGU